CCCGGGUAGUCCACGCCGUAAACGAUGGAUACUAGCUGUNGGAGGUAUCGACCCCUUCAGUAGCGAAGCUAACGCGUUAAGUAUCCCGCCUGUGGAGUACGGCCGCAAGGCUAAAACAUAAAGGAAUUGACGGGGACCCGCACAAGCGGUGGAUUAUGUUCUUUAAUUCGAUGAUAACCGAAGAACCUUACCAGGGCUUGACAUCCAGGGAAGGUCUGCGAAAGUAGACUGUGCCUUUUGGAACCCUGUGACAGGUGAUGCAUGGCCGUCGUCAGCUCGUGUCGUGAGAUGUUAGGUUAAGUCCUUCAACGAGCGCAACCCUUGUGAAUAGUUGUAUUUUUCUAUUCAGACUGCCCCGGUAACGGGGAGGAAGGAGGGGAUGAUGUCAGGUCAGUAUUUCCCUUACGUCCUGGGCUAGAAACGUAAUACAAUGGCUAGUACAAUGCGCAGCGAAGCCGCGAGGUGAAGCAAAUCGCAUCAAAGCUAGUCCCAGUUCGGAUUGUAGGCUGAAACUCGCCUGCAUGAAGUCGGAAUCGCUAGUAAUCGCAAAUCAGCAAGUUGCGGUGAAUACGUUCCCGGGUCUUGUACACACCNGCCCGUCAAACCAUGAAAGUGACCAACACCCGAAGUCCGAUUCGUCGGCCUAAGGUGGGGGGCAUGAUUGGGGUU
rnacentral:rRNA from 1 species